GGAUAUGGCUCAGUGGUAGAGUGUUUGCCUAGCAUGCACAAGGCCCUGGAUUCAAUUCCCAGCACCA
rnacentral:tRNA from 1 species